AAUAGCCGUGUUUCGAGUUACUCCGGAACACCCGGGAUUUUUCGUAUUUAGCCACGCCGGUCACGUGAUAUGAGCAAAAUGUUCCACAGGGGUACUUCCGGUUAAUUUUGUUUACACUGGUAACAAAAUUGUUUUUGACAAAAUAUAGAUUUUGCGGCACAAACUGUCGCAAAUCAGAUAAAGGAUAGCAAGGGAUAUAUAUUUACUUGGGAAGAUGUCAAAGUUUACCUUUUCCCAAACCCGGGAAAAGCGUUCACGCAGAGGAAACGAUGGUGUCAUUUGUGUAGAAAACCACGAGCAGCCGAAACUGAGUGCGAUUAUUACAUUCCGUGAAAGCUGAACCAACAAAGAAACAUCAUUGUUCUAGCCAGUUUGCUUAUAUUAACUUUUAGGAAAACCAAGAGGUUGAUAACAAUGGCUGAUCUGCAUAUAAUGACUGCUAGUUAUUGGCUGGUAUGCAGUGAAAGGGAGCUAAAAAGGAGUAAAAAGUUCAUAUCAGUCAGGUGAGAAUUAAUUUCUUCUUUUUUGUGUGCUAUACAUAUGUAAUUCUUUUCUUUUGCUGCUUCAAAUCUUGUGUAUUUGAAAAUUUUCAGUCUAAUAUUUGGCAAUGUUAUAGGUAGUGUGGUUUAAAUAAACCAGUGUUAAGGAAUAUCCAGUAAUGACAUGACAUCAUGAGAGUUUGGUAUACCGACAUUCAGAUGAUUAAUGAUGAAACUGAAGACCUCAAGUGAAAGGCAUGGAAAAUUAUCCUGUUCCCAUUAACCUGAAAAAGAGGAGGGAUGCCACAAUAUUGAUAAUAGACUUUUGUCAAUUUGAGAAGCAAAGAUGUAAAAAAUAAAAUAAAAUAAAUAAAUAAUGCUGAAAUUAUAAUUCAUGUAUUUGUUAAAAAUACUGUUCACUGUACAUACAUGUAUAUAUUUUUAAACUUAUUUGGAAAUACAUGAAGUAAUUCAUAUUAAAACUGAAUGUAUGAGUUUUCAUGAUUUUUAUCAAUAAAGCUUACCAUAUUUAUUGUA